rnacentral:lncRNA from 1 species
GAACAGCCUCCAAUGGUCUUGUUCUGAUGCCAGAAUACUGUCAAACAGCCUAAUGCAUCCUAAAUGUACUGUUCUAUAGGCCGUGGUUUAAACUAGUGUUUCUACAGCCUGAAAAGCUCAAAAACAAUGUUUUAGUUUUUCUGCAUUGCUUUCCAUCAGAACAGCCUGUACUGGUCAUGAUUUGAUGCCAGGCAUCUUUAAAACAGCUCAAUACACCCUAAAAGCACAGUUACACUUGCCGUGGUUUAAACUAGUUCUUCUUAUGGCUUGAAAAAGUUUAAAACAAUGUUUUAGUUUUACUGCAUUGGUUUCUAACACUAUAGCUUAUGAAAUUCAUGUUCUGAUGCCAAGCCACUGUAAGACAGGUCAAUAAACCGUAAAAGCACACGUGCAAGUGCCGUGGUUGAAACUAGUGUUCUUAUAGCCUGAAAAGCUCCAAAACGUUGUUUUAGUGUUGCUGAAUUGAUUUCUAAGUUUACAGCUUAUGAAAGUCAUGUUCUAAUGCCAAGCUACUGUGAUACAGCUCAAUACACCCUAAAAGCAUAGUUGCAAGUGUCGUGACUUCAACUAUUCUUCUUAUGGCCUGAAAAGCUCCAAAACGAUGUUUUAGUGUUCCUGCAUUAGUGUCUAACUUUACUGCCUAUAAUGGUCAUUCCAUGGUUUAAACUAGUGUUCUUUUAGUCUGAAAAGCUCCAAAACGAUGUUUUAGUGGUUCUGUAAUGGUUUCUAACAUUACAGGUUAUAAUAGUCAUGUUCUGAUGCCAAGCUACUGUAAGACAGCUCAAUACACCUUUAAAGCACAGUUGCAAGGGCCGUGGUUGAAACUAGUGUUCUUAAAGCCUGAAAAGCUCCAAAACGUUGUUUUAGUGUUGCUGAAUUGAUUUCUAAGUUUACAGCUUAUGAAAGUCAUGUUCUGAUGCCGAGCUACUGUAAGACAGCUCAAUACACCCUAAAAGCAGAGUUGAAAGUGCAG